rnacentral:rRNA from 1 species
UGCUUCCCGAAAAACCUAUGGAAAGUAAUUUCUGCCCAGUGAAAACUUAAACGGCCGCGGUACCCUGACCGUGCAAAGGUAGCAUAAUAGCUUGCCUUUUAAUUAAAGGCUUGUAUGAACGAACCAACGAGAGUUUGACUGUCUCCUAGAUAAACACGAAAAUUAACCUUUAUGUGAAAAGGCAUAAAUUAAACUAAAAGACAAAAAGACCCUGUCGAGCUUAAUUGUUAAAACCCCCCAAGAAAAGUAUUUCACUCUUGCUAGGCAAUAAAUCAAUUUAGUUGGGGCAACAGGGGAACAGCACAAACCUUCCCUUAGCUAAUUAAUAAUAAUUUGAUGACCCCCAACCGGGCCAAAAGAUAAAAGCUACCGCAG